rnacentral:rRNA from 1 species
CAGUCGCCGCGGUAAUGCGAAGGGUGCAAGCGUUAAUCGGAAUUACUGGGCGUAAAGCGUGCGUAGGCGGUUUGUUAAGUCUGUUGUGAAGUCCCCGGGCUCAACCUGGGAAUGGCAAUGGAUACUGGCAAGCUAGAGUGUGUCAGAGGAUGGUGGAAUUCCCGGUGUAGCGGUGAAAUGCGUAGAGAUCGGGAGGAACAUCAGUGGCGAAGGCGGCUUACUGGCUCAUACUGGACGCUGAGGUGCGAAAGCGUGGGGAGCAAACAGGAUUAGAUACCCCUGUAGUCCCUGUCUCUUAUAC